rnacentral:snRNA from 1 species
GUGCUCACCUGGGCAGCACAUGUACUAAAGCCGGGCUAGCAUGGCCCCUGCGCAAGGGUGACACGCAAAUUCAUCAAGUACUCCAUAUUAAA